rnacentral:tRNA from 8 species
GCCGAGGUGGUGGAACUGGUAGACACGCUAUCUUGAGGGGGUAGUGAGAAUUCUCGUGCGGGUUCGAGUCCCGCCCUCGGCACCA